rnacentral:rRNA from 1 species
GACGAACGCUGGCGGCGUGCUUAACACAUGCAAGUCGAACGGUGAAGCGCCUUCCUUUUUGGUGGGUGUGGAUGAGUGGCGAACGGGUGAGUAACACGUGAGUAACCUGCCCCCUUCUUCUGGAUAACCGCAUGAAAGUGUGGCUAAUACGGGAUAUUCUGGGUCUGUCGCAUGAUGGGUCUGGGAAAGAUAUUGUUUCGGUGGGGGAUGGGCUCGCGGCCUAUCAGCUUGUUGGUGGGGUGAUGGCCUACCAAGGCGGUGACGGGUAGCCGGCCUGAGAGGGUGGACGGUCACACUGGGACUGAGACACGGCCCAGACUCCUACGGGAGGCAGCAGUGGGGAAUAUGGCACAAUGGGCGCAAGCCUGAUGUAGCGACGCCGCGUGAGGGAUGGAGGCCUUCGGGUUGUGAACCUCUUUCGCCAGUGAAGCAGGCCUGCCUCGUUUGUGGGUGGGUUGACGGUAGCUGGAUAAGAAGCGCCGGCUAACUACGUG